AAUUUUGGACAAUGGGGGAAACCCUGAUCCAGCCAUCCCGCGUGUGCGAUGAAGGCCUUCGGGUUGUAAAGCACUUUCUUCAGGGAGGAAAAGGUUCUGGCUAAUACCCGGAACCGAUGACGGUACCUGAAGAAUAAGCACCGGCUAACUACGUGCCAGCAGCCGCGGUAAUACGUAGGGUGCAAGCGUUCAUCGGAAUUACUGGGCGGAAAGCGUGCGGAGGCGGUUCGGAAAGGAGGGUGUGAAAUCCCAGGGCUCAACCUUGGAACUGCAUUCUUAACUAGCGAACUAGAGUAUGGUAGAGGGGGGUAGAAUUCCGGGUGUAGCAGUGAAAUGCGUAGAUAAGCGGAGGAAUACCAAUGGCGAAGGCAGCCCCCUGGGAUAAUACUGACACUCAGACACGAAAGCGUGGGGAGCAAACAGG
rnacentral:rRNA from 1 species